GAAGAGCCUAGAUGAUUUUACUACUACGAUACUAAGAGUUAUUAUAGAUUUUUAUCUCUUACGAGUAAUAUUAUUUGGCAACUAAAAAUAUACCUAGCCAUUUGUGUAUGGAAAUUUUACACUGUUACGUCUUAAAAAAAUUCAAUUUUUUCUCUUUCUGUGCACGCUUUGGCUGCUGCUUUAUGUAUGAAGAUUUACCUGGUAGGGCUGAAUCAGCUGUUCGACAUUCACAUUGAAAAGGUUGUAUUUUAUUCCUUGUGGUUUGAAAAAAUGCACCUUCUUAAUCCUUUAUAUUGUACAAUCAUUUAGUAUAAAUUAUACUCUAUUUUGGAGAUCAACAAGCCAGGUUUUCCAUUGGUAGCUAGGCGAUUUUCAGUAGCAACUGGAGUAUUCUUAGUGGUCACAUUCCUGAUCAUGGUAUAUUAGGUUCAACAUAAUGGUGUUAUGGUGUGGAAAAUAUGGCUGAAGUCUAAAUACUUAAGUGUUGUUGUUUUCAGAGCUUUAGCUUUGGAAUCUGUUUCGGAUCGGUGCCACUGACGUGUGCUUUAAUUAUCAGCUUCCUUCUUGGAAGUGUUCCAUUGAGGCUCCGAUGCUCCGGUGGGAACGACACACACUCCUCGCUGCAUCUUGUAUCCUAUUUGUGAGGGCUAUCAUGGUCCAAUUGGCUUUCUUUGCACAUAUGCAGUGACAUGUUCUGAAAAGGCCCUUGGCAGCAACAAAAUGACUGGUGUUUGCAACAUUGUCCUGUGUUGGUUCUCUGCCGUCAUAGCUAUAUUCAAGGUGUAUCAGCUUUGCAGUGGAGCAUGUUGUUCGUCGUGGGUCGAACUGAGGCCAAGACUGAUGAGUUGAUGGCGAGAACAAACUACUA